UUAUAAUUUAUUUAUAUUUAUUAUUGUUUUUUUUAUUUUAAUAAAAAUAUUUUUAUUUUUAGUAUUUUUAAGAAUUAAUAUAUUAUUUUUUUUGUACUGUAAAGGGUUUUUAUUAAUAUAAAUAAAGUAUUUUUUAUUUAAAGUACCUUUUGCAUCAGGGUUUAUUAAAAUAAAUAAAUUAUUUUAUUUUCUCGAAAUUUUAAGAUUUAAAAUAAAAUGUUAUUUUUCGUUUUAUAGUUAUUUAUAAUUUUAUUUUAGAGGUUAUAUGCUUUUCAUUUAAAAUAAUAUCUAGUUUUUUAAUAAUUGAAUUCAAUUCAUUUUUAAUAUUGUUUUUUAAAAUUUAAUUUUUUUAAAUUUAUUAAAAAAAAGUUAUUGGGGAUAAGCUUGAUAUCUUUAUUAAAAAUAUAUUAUUUAAGAUUAUUUUUAGGAUUGGAAAUUUCUUUUUAAUUUAUUUUGUUAUAAUUAUUUUUCUUUAAUUAUGAUUUUUAUUUUUUUAAUUUAUUAUUAAAAUGUUUUUAUAAAUUUUAUAUAUAAAUUAAUAAUGAUAAAAUUAGUAAUUUUGUUAAUUUAUUAAUAGGAAUUCGGCAAUUUUUAUUUUCACCUGUUUAACAAAAACAUGGCCUUUUGAAUUUUAUAUAAGGUCGUACCUGCCCAUUGAUUAAUAAUAUUAAAAGGCUGCGGUAUUUUAACUGUACGAAGGUAGCAUAAUCAUUUGUCUUUUAAUUGAAGGCUUGUAUGAAUGGUUUGAUGAAAUAUAAACUUUCUUUUAAUUAUUUUUUUGAAUUUAAUAUUUUAGUUAAAAAGCUAAAAUAUUUUUAUAGGACGAGAAGACCCUAUAGAAGUUUACUAAUUUUAUGAAAUUAUAUAUUUUGAUUUUAAAUUAUUUUUUUAGAAGAAUGAGUUUUAUUGGGGUGAUAUUAAAAUUAAAUUAACUUUUAAUUAAUUUUUUCAUUGAUUUAUGUUUUUUUGAUCCAAAAUUUUUGAUUAAAAGAUUAACUUACCUUAGGGAUAACAGCGUAAUUUGUUUGGAGAGUUCUUAUCGAUAAACAAGUUUGCGACCUCGAUGUUGAAUUAAGAUAAGAGAUGGGUGCAAAAUUUCAUUUUCUUGGUCUGUUCGACCAUUAAAUUCUUACAUGAUUUGAGUUCAGACCGGCGUGAGCCAGGUCGGUUUCUAUCCUUAUUUUUUUUGUGUUUUAGUACGAAAGGACCAUUCACAUUAAUUAUAUUAUUAAUUUUAAAUAAAAUUA
rnacentral:rRNA from 1 species